AUGGAAUGGAGUUGGGUCUUUCUCUUCCUCCUGUCAGUAACUGCAGGUGUCCAAUCCCAGAUUCAACUGCAGCAGUCUGGGGCUGAGCUGGUGAGGCCUGGGGCUUCAGUGAAGCUGUCCUGCAUGGCUUCUGGAUACACAUUUACUGACUAUGGAAUGGACUGGGUGAAGCAGACACCUGUGCAUGGCCUGGAAUGGAUUGGAGCUAUUGAUCCUGGAACUGGUGGUACUGCCUACAAUCAGAAGUUCAAGGGCAAGGCCACACUGACUGCAGACAAAUCCUCCAGCACAGCCUACAUGGAGCUCAGCAGCCUGACAUCUGAGGAUUCUGCCGUGUAUUACUGUACAAGACACAGUGUUGAAACCACAUCCUGA